rnacentral:rRNA from 2 species
GGGUUGUGAGGUUAAGCGACUAAGCGUACACGGUGGAUGCCCUGGCAGUCAGAGGCGAUGAAGGACGUGCUAAUCUGCGAUAAGCGUCGGUAAGGUGAUAUGAACCGUUAUAACCGGCGAUUUCCGAAUGGGGAAACCCAGUGUGUUUCGACACACUAUCAUUAACUGAAUCCAUAGGUUAAUGAGGCGAACCGGGGGAACUGAAACAUCUAAGUACCCCGAGGAAAAGAAAUCAACCGAGAUUCCCCCAGUAGCGGCGAGCGAACGGGGAGCAGCCCAGAGCCUGAAUCAGUGUGUGUGUUAGUGGAAGCGUCUGGAAAGGCGCGCGAUACAGGGUGACAGCCCCGUACACAAAAAUGCACAUGCUGUGAGCUCGAUGAGUAGGGCGGGACACGUGGUAUCCUGUCUGAAUAUGGGGGGACCAUCCUCCAAGGCUAAAUACUCCUGACUGACCGAUAGUGAACCAGUACCGUGAGGGAAAGGCGAAAAGAACCCCGGCGAGGGGAGUGAAAAAGAACCUGAAACCGUGUACGUACAAGCAGUGGGAGCACGCUUAGGCGUGUGACUGCGUACCUUUUGUAUAAUGGGUCAGCGACUUAUAUUCUGUAGCAAGGUUAACCGAAUAGGGGAGCCGAAGGGAAACCGAGUCUUAACUGGGCGUUAAGUUGCAGGGUAUAGACCCGAAACCCGGUGAUCUAGCCAUGGGCAGGUUGAAGGUUGGGUAACACUAACUGGAGGACCGAACCGACUAAUGUUGAAAAAUUAGCGGAUGACUUGUGGCUGGGGGUGAAAGGCCAAUCAAACCGGGAGAUAGCUGGUUCUCCCCGAAAGCUAUUUAGGUAGCGCCUCGUGAAUUCAUCUCCGGGGGUAGAGCACUGUUUCGGCAAGGGGGUCAUCCCGACUUACCAACCCGAUGCAAACUGCGAAUACCGGAGAAUGUUAUCACGGGAGACACACGGCGGGUGCUAACGUCCGUCGUGAAGAGGGAAACAACCCAGACCGCCAGCUAAGGUCCCAAAGUCAUGGUUAAGUGGGAAACGAUGUGGGAAGGCCCAGACAGCCAGGAUGUUGGCUUAGAAGCAGCCAUCAUUUAAAGAAAGCGUAAUAGCUCACUGGUCGAGUCGGCCUGCGCGGAAGAUGUAACGGGGCUAAACCAUGCACCGAAGCUGCGGCAGCGACACUAUGUGUUGUUGGGUAGGGGAGCGUUCUGUAAGCCUGUGAAGGUGUGCUGUGAGGCAUGCUGGAGGUAUCAGAAGUGCGAAUGCUGACAUAAGUAACGAUAAAGCGGGUGAAAAGCCCGCUCGCCGGAAGACCAAGGGUUCCUGUCCAACGUUAAUCGGGGCAGGGUGAGUCGACCCCUAAGGCGAGGCCGAAAGGCGUAGUCGAUGGGAAACAGGUUAAUAUUCCUGUACUUGGUGUUACUGCGAAGGGGGGACGGAGAAGGCUAUGUUGGCCGGGCGACGGUUGUCCCGGUUUAAGCGUGUAGGCUGGUUUUCCAGGCAAAUCCGGAAAAUCAAGGCUGAGGCGUGAUGACGAGGCACUACGGUGCUGAAGCAACAAAUGCCCUGCUUCCAGGAAAAGCCUCUAAGCAUCAGGUAACAUCAAAUCGUACCCCAAACCGACACAGGUGGUCAGGUAGAGAAUACCAAGGCGCUUGAGAGAACUCGGGUGAAGGAACUAGGCAAAAUGGUGCCGUAACUUCGGGAGAAGGCACGCUGAUAUGUAGGUGAAGUCCCUCGCGGAUGGAGCUGAAAUCAGUCGAAGAUACCAGCUGGCUGCAACUGUUUAUUAAAAACACAGCACUGUGCAAACACGAAAGUGGACGUAUACGGUGUGACGCCUGCCCGGUGCCGGAAGGUUAAUUGAUGGGGUUAGCGCAAGCGAAGCUCUUGAUCGAAGCCCCGGUAAACGGCGGCCGUAACUAUAACGGUCCUAAGGUAGCGAAAUUCCUUGUCGGGUAAGUUCCGACCUGCACGAAUGGCGUAAUGAUGGCCAGGCUGUCUCCACCCGAGACUCAGUGAAAUUGAACUCGCUGUGAAGAUGCAGUGUACCCGCGGCAAGACGGAAAGACCCCGUGAACCUUUACUAUAGCUUGACACUGAACAUUGAGCCUUGAUGUGUAGGAUAGGUGGGAGGCUUUGAAGUGUGGACGCCAGUCUGCAUGGAGCCGACCUUGAAAUACCACCCUUUAAUGUUUGAUGUUCUAACGUUGACCCGUAAUCCGGGUUGCGGACAGUGUCUGGUGGGUAGUUUGACUGGGGCGGUCUCCUCCUAAAGAGUAACGGAGGAGCACGAAGGUUGGCUAAUCCUGGUCGGACAUCAGGAGGUUAGUGCAAUGGCAUAAGCCAGCUUGACUGCGAGCGUGACGGCGCGAGCAGGUGCGAAAGCAGGUCAUAGUGAUCCGGUGGUUCUGAAUGGAAGGGCCAUCGCUCAACGGAUAAAAGGUACUCCGGGGAUAACAGGCUGAUACCGCCCAAGAGUUCAUAUCGACGGCGGUGUUUGGCACCUCGAUGUCGGCUCAUCACAUCCUGGGGCUGAAGUAGGUCCCAAGGGUAUGGCUGUUCGCCAUUUAAAGUGGUACGCGAGCUGGGUUUAGAACGUCGUGAGACAGUUCGGUCCCUAUCUGCCGUGGGCGCUGGAGAACUGAGGGGGGCUGCUCCUAGUACGAGAGGACCGGAGUGGACGCAUCACUGGUGUUCGGGUUGUCAUGCCAAUGGCACUGCCCGGUAGCUAAAUGCGGAAGAGAUAAGUGCUGAAAGCAUCUAAGCACGAAACUUGCCCCGAGAUGAGUUCUCCCUGACCCUUUAAGGGUCCUGAAGGAACGUUGAAGACGACGACGUUGAUAGGCCGGGUGUGUAAGCGCAGCGAUGCGUUGAGCUAACCGGUACUAAUGAACCGUGAGGCUUAACCUUACAACGCCGAAG